rnacentral:misc_RNA from 1 species
GUAGGUGAACCUGCGGAAGGAUCAUUAUCGAAUAUAAACUUGGGUAGACUGUUGCUGGCUUCUCUUUCGAGGAGCAUGUGCACGUUUAUCCUCUUUAUUUUUCCACCUGUGCACCUUUUGUAGGCUUGGAAUUAUUUUAAUAGUGUCUUUCCCAAAGGCAUAAGAAUUUUUUGGGACUGCUGUGUUUAAACGCAUGUUUAUCGGCUUUCCCUUUUAUUUUUCCAAGUCUAUGUUUUUCAUAUACACUCCAGAAAUUUGAUAGAAUGCUGUACUUGUAGGUCAUACCUAUAAUAAAAUCAGUACAACUUUCAGCAACGGAUCUCUUGGCUCUC